AUGACCGUGUCUCUUCAACAUAUUCAAAUAACAACGUUUCAACCCUCACUUUCUUGCGACAUCAACAACUACUUUGAUUGGCGUUCGUCUUCUGUAACAACAAAUGAAAAAACAAUAGUUAUGGCUCUGAAAAAUAGCAAGAAAGAAGAAGAAGAAGAAGAAGAAGAGUCAACAAAAAGAGAGGAUACAGAACUUUCUGUUUUCUUGUCAUCUUCAUCUUCUCGAAGAUGCACCAAACGAAUUUCGGUAGCAAAGAAGAAGAUGUGA